UACGGAGGGUGCGAGCGUUGUCCGGAAUUAUUGGGCGUAAAGAGCUCGUAGGCGGUUUGUCGCGUCUGCUGUGAAAACUCGGGGCUUAACCCCGGGCCUGCAGUGGGUACGGGCAGACUAGAGUGCGGUAGGGGAGACUGGAAUUUACGGUGUAGCGGUGAAAUGCGUAGAUAUCGUAAGGAAGACCAGUGGCGAAGGCGGGUCUCUGGACAGUUCCUGACGCUGAGGCACGAAGGUCAGGGGAGCAAACGGG
rnacentral:rRNA from 1 species